GCAUGGUAAUGGAUUUAUGGUGGGUCCGGCUGUGUGGGCCUUUCAUAGUGUACCCAUGCAAGAGAAAGCACGGCCUCGAACCAUUGCCUCGCCCCUGCUGUGGGCUGUGAGCACUGAAGCAGGCCACACAGCU
ensembl:snoRNA